rnacentral:rRNA from 1 species
UGGGGAAUAUUGCACAAUGGGCGCAAGCCAGAUGCAGCCAUGCCGCGUGUAUGAAGAAGGCCUUCGGGUUGUAAAGUACUUUCAGUCGGGAGGAAGGUGGUAAGGUUAAUAACCUUAUCAAUUGACGUUACCGACAGAAGAAGCACCGGCUAACUCCGUGCCAGCAGCCGCGGUAAUACGGAGGGUGCAAGCGUUAAUCGGAAUUACUGGGCGUAAAGCGCACGCAGGCGGUUGAUUGAGUCAGAUGUGAAAUCCCCGGGCUUAACCCGGGAAUUGCAUCUGAUACUGGCAAGCUUGAGUCUCGUAGAGGGGGGUAGAAUUCCAGGUGUAGCGGUGAAAUGCGUAGAGAUCUGGAGGAAUACCGGUGGCGAAGGCGGCCCCCUGGACGAAGACUGACGCUCAGGUGCGAAAGCGUGGGGAGCAAACAGG